rnacentral:lncRNA from 1 species
GGCAUUGAAGACUGUUCCUUUCUGGGUGAAGGAGAAUCACGUAGCAAUUGGGAGCAAGAUGCAUCCAUGUAACCCAGUACUGGAGGUCAAGAUGGAGACAAUCUCCACAGCCACCAUGGCCUUUCCCUGAGUGCUACUAUAACUCAGGAGGAAAGCCACCCAGAUACUGCAGAACACCAACAUGCUGAAGGCAAACCAAAGAGAAGAAAGACUUUGUGCUUGAGAGUUGAAAAUGAGACCACC